rnacentral:rRNA from 1 species
AUUGAACGCUGGCGGCAGGCCUAACAUAUGCAAGUCGAGCGGAUGAAGGGAGCUUGCUCCUGGAUUCAGCGGCGGACGGGUGAGUAAUGCCUAGGAAUCUGCCUGGUAGUGGGGGAUAACGUCCGGAAACGGGCGCUAAUACCGCAUACGUCCUGAGGGAGAAAGUGGGGGAUCUUCGGACCUCACGCUAUCAGAUGAGCCUAGGUCGGAUUAGCUAGUUGGUGGGGUAAAGGCCUACCAAGGCGACGAUCCGUAACUGGUCUGAGAGGAUGAUCAGUCACACUAGAGCUGAGACACGGUCAAGACUACUACGGGAGGCAGCAGUGGGGAAUAUUGGACACUGGGCGAAAGCCUGAUCCAGCCAUGCCGCGUGUGUGAAGAAGGUCUUCGGAUUGUAAAGCACUUUAAGUUGGGAGGAAGGGCAGUAAGUUAAUACCUUGCUGUUUUGACGUUACCAACAGAAUAAGCACCGGCUAGCUUCGUG